rnacentral:rRNA from 1 species
CACGCCCUAAACGAUGAUCACUAGAUAUUGGCGACAGACAGUCAGUGUCCAAGCGAAAGUGAUAAGUGAUCCACCUGGGGAAUACGGCCGCAAGGUUAAAACUCAAAGGAAUUGACGGGGGCCCGCACAAGCGGAGGAGCAUGUGGUUUAAUUCGAUGGUACGCGAGGAACCUUACCUGGGUUAGAACGUAUGAUAGAUGUAGCUGAAAGGUUACAGUCCUGCAAGGGAUAUCAUACGAGGUGC